UUGAUGUGAUUUUAUACCCGUGCUUGACUGUACUAGCCGAGAGCUGAAUGUGUGGUAAGGUCUUCAUAGCUGGCAGGGUGUUUUGUGGAACUGGUGUGAGGACACCGCCUUUUAAGGU